GAUGAACGCUGGCGGCGUGCCUAAUACAUGCAAGUCGAGCGAACAGACGAGGAGCUUGCUCCUCUGACGUUAGCGGCGGACGGGUGAGUAACACGUGGAUAACCUACCUAUAAGACUGGGAUAACUUCGGGAAACCGGAGCUAAUACCGGAUAACAUGUUGAACCGCAUGGUUCAACAGUGAAAGACGGUCUUGCUGUCACUUAUAGAUGGAUCCGCGCCGCAUUAGCUAGUUGGUAAGGUAACGGCUUACCAAGGCAACGAUGCGUAGCCGACCUGAGAGGGUGAUCGGCCACACUGGAACUGAGACACGGUCCAUACUCCUGCGGGAGGCAGCAGUAGGGAAUCUUCCGCAAUGGGCGAAAGCCUGACGGAGCAACGCCGCGUGAGUGAAGAAGGUCUUCGGAUCGUAAAACUCUGUUAUUAGUGAAGAACAAAUGUGUAAGUAACUAUGCACGUCUUGACGGUACCUAAUCAGAAAGCCACGGCUAACUACGUG
rnacentral:rRNA from 1 species